UGAAGAAUCUGGGUUUUCUAGAUUUGUUCUUCACGUAGACUGGUCAACCUACUUUGACCUUGUAUAACUUUGAUUCUUUUAAGCAUCUGGGUGAUCUAAAGGCUUAGAUGUAUCGCCUAUAUGUAAGUCUAUAAGCCCCAAACAACAAUAUAACAAAAAACAUUAAACACAGUAAGGUCUAAGGCUUGCAAAACGUUGUCAGAAAUUCUGGGUUUCUGGGUUUACCCAGAUUUCCAGUUUUUUGUGAUCGGUCAAUGUCCUUUGACUGCUUAUAUCUAUCAAUCAACACAUGAUCUAACCCUGUUUCCAGGUUCAGAUCAUAGUCCACAUGGCAUAGAACAAAUAUAUAACAUAAAACAACACAAAGCAAAAACAGAGAAGGAUCUAGGGCCUUUGACAUUCGGCUGUCAGACAAUAUUUUAGCGUUCAUAGUCAGUUUCUAAAAACCCAAUUUCUUGCAUCUAGAUGUUAUGGAUCUAGGAUCUAACAACCAAGAUCACUAAAUGACAUCCUAUAACACAACUCUAACCAAUAAACAAAAACAUCUAACAUCAGAUCAUAAGAUUUUGAAGAUUUAGGGUUUAUACAAUUUUCAUGCUUUGAUCUUGAAUCUGAUCAUCAUGAUCUGAUCUUGGGAUGCGAACACAUGAUCAUGGCAUAUCUUAUAACUCAAUCUCACUCUACAAAUUUCAGAUUUUAGAGAGAGAAUGAUCUAGGUUCAUAAAAGAAAUAAAGUAAGUCUUUUCCUCUCUCUCUAAUCUAUAUAUGAAAUGAUGCAUUGUAUAUUGGCUGAUAAAAAGGCAUAUUGUUGGGAUUUUUAUCUAAUGGGAGACUUUAG
rnacentral:lncRNA from 1 species